GGUUGUGUCAGUGCCCUUGGUAAAGGUAAUUUAUACUUCUGUAAUGUAGCAUUAAUGCAGAAAAGUGCACUGAGAUACUAGAGCAACGCCUUCUCCAUAGCCAU